AAAGAGAAGGAGAAGAGAGGGCCAUUCGGCCAAGACUCCAAAAAAAUGGUGUCAUGGAAUUGAUCAAGAAAAAUUAUUUCUUCUAGCAUUUAAAAUAAUUGGAAGGUCCCCAUUAACGUGAAGGAGUUGUUGGAGUAAGCCAAGCAUUAAUUUGGGAGAUUUACAAACCCUAGCCAAGUAAGAAGACAAGUGGAGGAAGACUAGCGAUAGCGAGCUUGGACAAUUAAGCGUAGCUAAUAGGACGUGGAGCAGGUACACCCAGAUGAGUAGAAGAUGUUCCAGCGGAGUUGGCAAGCUCCAUUUGCUCUGGAGUGUUGCCGGGUCAGAGUGCUAUGCUAUGAUGUCUUGUUUGAAGUUAGAGACUUUGCAGAUAGAGUCGUGGGUAUAGAGUGUCGGUAUUGUA